UCCGGUUGAUCCUGCCGGACCCCACUGCUAUCGGGAUAGGACUAAGACAUGCUAGUCGAGCGCUUCAGCCAAAAAGAGGCGCGGCAUACAGCUCAGUAACACGUGGCUAAUCUGCCCUUAGGACGAGAACAACCCCGGGAAACUGGGGCUAACUCUCGAUAGGUGAAGAACUCUGGAAUGAGUCUUCGCCCAAAAAGCUUCACGUUAUGCGCGUGAGGUUGCCUAAGGAUGAGGCCGCGACCGAUCAGGUUGUUGGUGAGGUAAUGGCUCACCAAGCCUUUUACCGGUGCGGGCCGUGAGAGCGGGGGCCCGGAGAUGGGCACUGAGACAAGGGCCCAGGCCCUACGGGGCGCAGCAGUCGCGAAAACUUUGCAAUACACGAAAGUGUGACAGGGCUAUCCCGAGUGCCAUCCGCUGAGGAAGGCUUUUACCCAGUCUAGAACGCUGGGGGAAUAAGGAGAGGGCAAGUCUGGUGUCAGCCGCCGCGGUAAUACCAGCUCUCCGAGUGGUGUGGAUGUUUAUUGGGCCCAAAGCAUCCGUAGCUGGCUAAGUUAGUCCCUUGUUAAAUCCACCGAAUUAAUCGUUGGAUUGCGGGGGAUACUGCUUGGCUAGGGGACGAGAGAGGCAGACGGUAUUCCCGGGGUAGGGGUGAAAUCCUAUAAUCCCGAGAAGACACAGUGGCGAAGGCUGUCUGCUAGAACGCGCCCGACGGUGAGGGAUGAAAGCUGGGGGAGCGAACCGGAUUAGAUACGGUAGUCCAGCUGUAAACGAUGCGCUAGUGUUUGGACGACGUGCCGUUCUAGUGCCGCGGAAGCUGUUAAGCCUGCCGCCUGGGAGUACGAUCGCAGAUUGAACUUAAUGGGGGA
rnacentral:rRNA from 1 species